rnacentral:rRNA from 2 species
UCCGGUGGCUAUAGCGGCGGGGACCCACCCGUUCCCAUUCCGAACACGGAAGUUAAGCCCGCCAGCGCCGAUGGUACUUGGGGUGCAGACCCCCGGGAGAGUAGGACACCGCCGGGC